AAUACCUAUUUCCUAAGAAUUUACUUACAUCUUAGACAAUUUAGAACCAGAACCACCGGCAAUCUUUUGUACGCGAAGAGAGGCAAGCUCUUGACGGAGCUCUUGUAAUUGCUCAGCCAAGUUCUCUUGCGAUUGCUUACGAAGUUCAAAGGUCUUUAAUGCCAUCUCGUCGUCGUCGUUGGUCAAGAGUAAACUCAGCGACACUGUUGCUUCCUACUAAAGUUUCCACCAAAGAAAAGCAGUCACACUAGU